rnacentral:lncRNA from 1 species
AUCACUUCCAGGAAACGUUCCGUAUAGAAAUGAAGUCGUUGUGCAAACGUAAGCUAGGAGCGUCUCAAGAACGGGACGUUUCCUUAAAAGAUGAUGACACUUCCCUCAAGUGUCUCGUGAACUUUCUGAGAUUUCAUUGCUGCUAUAAAAAAAAGAACAAAGAGGUCACAGAAAAACUUGCGAAUAUACUGUAUUCGACCAGGAACACAGGCUACAAUACGUAAGCCCUACCAUGGCGACUUGUUCCAGCCCAACGAAAUCCAUCGCCGACGCAAUGCUUUCAGUGGUAGUCAUCAUGGAUACUAAAGCGAAGCAGGAAACGACAGAUGUCGUAAGAAAUAAAUACCCUUAAUACUGCUAUAUACACACAUAGAUGAAAAAGUGCAGACGUAGAAGAGCUCCCUUAGUCGUUGGGAUAGUUCAGCUGGAUGGGUGCUGGACAAACUGCCUCUAGGAAGGUUUUAUCAGGCUGAUGGAGAGGUACCGAAGUAAAAUCACGAUUUAGCAAGCUAACUUAGCAACUGCCCAGCGUAGCUGUUUGUUUGCUGGGGUUGGUUGAGCUCUUAAGCGCUACACACCGCUUACUUCGAAUGCAAGAUCCUGCGUAUCAUCCGUCGUUUAACUUGCCAGAGAUGGCGUAAAGUUCAUUCUCGCUUCCGACUAAAUAGGUGGCGGAUUUUGCUCGAGGCGAACAUGACAUAUCCUUCUGUUGCAUAAUCAUAAGACGAUGGAAAGUUGUAAAAUUACCAAUAAGAAGGCGGGAUGAAAGGGAAUCGAGAUAACUACAGAAAACGUUUAACACUACCUGUCAACCGAUUUCGCUUAGUAUCACAAAUUUAGUAUUGAUCAUAUCUCCUUGAUUGCUGGAGAGCGUAAAUAGACUAUUCCGCACCGAAAGAAUCAGCGUUGAAUAUGUUGGCAGGAUAGUUUUGAAUCCUGUUAUCACGAUAGCUACGAUUUACCCAUUUUUUCUGUCCAUAGCGAUAUUUCAGGUGUCUAGACUGUGUCGUAUCUUUUCAGGAUGUAGCCUUAUAUUAGACUGCGUUCGCAAAGCUAUACAGAUCGGUUUCUGAUCCUCCGGUUAACUAGGUAAGCAGCUGUUCGACCAGGUGCGUUGUGGUUCGUUUGUUAUGGUCGAAGAGGCCAGGCUAGUGAAGGAGUGGUUUUCCAAUGGCGGAAGUCGUCUGUCUGCCUUCAGUUCGGGCUGCGGUACAAGGAGCUACAGCUAUACAGGCAAAAUAGAAAGUGUGUAAAGUGCUGCGUACUCUGUUGAUUUAGCGAGC